GAGAAACGGCUACCACAUCCACGGAAGGCAGCAGGCGCGUAAAUUACCCAAUACCGGCUCGGUGAGGUAGUGACAAAAAAUAACAAUAUGGGCCCUAGUGGUUUCAUAAUUGCAAUGAGAAUAUUUUAAAUACUUUAUCAAGUAUCAAUUGGAGGGCAAGUCUGGUGCCAGCAGCCGCGGUAAUUCCAGCUCCAAAAGCGUAUAUUAAAGUUGUUGCAGUUAAAAAGCUCGUAGUUGAAAUUUAGGAUUCUAGAUUCUUUUCNAUCUUAUGAUUGAAAUAAAUUUAGUCCUUUUGUGUCGUGUAUAUUAAUUAGUUACUUUAUUGUAUCUGGUUAAUAACCGGCUAGUUUACUUUGAAAAAAUUAGAGUGCUUAAAGCAGGCUUAUGCUUGUAUAUUGUUGCAUGGAAUAAUAAAAUAGGACUUCGGUUUUAUUUUGUUGGUUUUCGAAACUGAAGUAAUGAUUAAAAGAGACUGCCGGGGGCAUGUGUAUGCUGGUGCUAGAGGUGAAAUUCUUAGAUCAUCAGCAGACAAACUACU
rnacentral:rRNA from 1 species